UUAUCAGUGAGGUUAAUACUUGCCUGUUUUUCCUUUGGGAGAAAUGAAAUAUGAUGAUUUGGGAUAAUGAGGUUGUGAUUAAGCUAUUCUGGUUUGCGGAGUCUGGCAACCUCUACACUAAUCAUAUCUGAU